rnacentral:lncRNA from 1 species
AAAGACUGACCAGUGCAGUGACAUUCCAUUCACGAACGCGGUCGUCUGUAUUUUUUUCAUGUUUCUAAUAGUGUCCCUCCUAUUUUUGCGUUAUCACAUUAUUCAUAUGUACAUGUACAUGUUUUAAUUCUGUAACUAGAUUUUGACCCGCGCUUUCAAAGCGCGGAUUUAUUUUUGUUUUUUUUUCAAUUGACAAAUAUUUAGUAAAUGUCACAUUUUCAUAUAUUUUUGUUUUAUUUUAUAAAAGACUUAAAAAUUUUAUCUUUAUUUAUCGUAUUUCAUUUUA